rnacentral:rRNA from 1 species
UGUGUGUUAGUGGAAGCGUCUGGAAAGGCGCGCGAUACAGGGUGACAGCCCCGUACACAAAAAUGCACAUGCUGUGAGCUCGAUGAGUAGGGCGGGACACGUGGUAUCCUGUCUGAAUAUGGGGGGACCAUCCUCCAAGGCUAAAUACUCCUGACUGACCGAUAGUGAACCAGUACCGUGAGGGAAAGGCGAAAAGAACCCCGGCGAGGGGAGUGAAAAAGAACCUGAAACCGUGUACGUACAAGCAGUGGGAGCACGCUUAGGCGUGUGACUGCGUACCUUUUGUAUAAUGGGUCAGCGACUUAUAUUCUGUAGCAAGGUUAACCGAAUAGGGGAGCCGAAGGGAAACCGAGUCUUAACUGGGCGUUAAGUUGCAGGGUAUAGACCCGAAACCCGGUGAUCUAGCCAUGGGCAGGUUGAAGGUUGGGUAACACUAACUGGAGGACCGAACCGACUAAUGUUGAAAAAUUAGCGGAUGACUUGUGGCUGGGGGUGAAAGGCCAAUCAAACCGGGAGAUAGCUGGUUCUCCCCGAAAGCUAUUUAGGUAGCGCCUCGUGAAUUCAUCUCCGGGGGUAGAGCACUGUUUCGGCAAGGGGGUCAUCCCGACUUACCAACCCGAUGCAAACUGCGAAUACCGGAGAAUGUUAUCACGGGAGACACACGGCGGGUGCUAACGUCCGUCGUGAAGAGGGAAACAACCCAGACCGCCAGCUAAGGUCCCAAAGUCAUGGUUAAGUGGGAAACGAUGUGGGAAGGCCCAGACAGCCAGGAUGUUGGCUUAGAAGCAGCCAUCAUUUAAAGAAAGCGUAAUAGCUCACUGGUCGAGUCGGCCUGCGCGGAAGAUGUAACGGGGCUAAACCAUGCACCGAAGCUGCGGCAGCGACGCUUAUGCGUUGUUGGGUAGGGGAGCGUUC